ACGGAAGGCAGCAGUGGGGAAUAUUGGGCGAUGGGCGCAAGCCUGACCCAGCAACGCCGCGUGAAGGAUGAAGGUCUUCGGAUUGUAAACUUCUUUGAUCAGGGACGAAUAAAUGACGGUACCUGCAGAACAAGUCACGGCUAACUACGUGCCAGCAGCCGCGGUAAUACGUAGGUGACAAGCGUUAUCCGGAUUCACCGGGUGUAAAGGGCGUGUAGGCGGUUUGGCAAGUCAGAAGUGAAAUUCCCGGGCUUAACUUGGGCGCUGCUUCUGAAACUGCUUUACUUGAGUACUGGAAAGGAUAGUGGAAUUCCUAGUGUAGCGGUAAAAUGCGCAGAUAUUAGGAGGAACACCGGUGGCGAAGGCGGCUAUCUGGACAGUAACUGACGCUGAGGCGCGAAAGCACGGGGAGCAAACAGGAUUAGAUACCCUGGUA
rnacentral:rRNA from 1 species